GAAUCCAGUGGUUUAAAUGGUAGAGCUCCUGACAUGGAAUCAGGGAGAUCCGGGUUCGAUUCUCGGCUUGGUUCC
rnacentral:tRNA from 1 species